rnacentral:rRNA from 1 species
UACGUAGGGUGCAAGCGUUGUCCGGAAUUAUUGGGCGUAAAGAGCUCGUAGGCGGUUCGUCGCGUCGGCUGUGAAAUCCCGGAGCUCAACUCCGGGUCUGCAGUCGGUACGGGCAUGCUGGAGUGCGGCAGGGGAGACUGGAAUUCCUGGUGUAGCGGUGGAAUGCGCAGAUAUCAGGAGGAACACCGGUGGCGAAGGCGGGUCUCUGGGCCGUUACUGACGCUGAGGAGCGAAAGCGUGGGGAGCGAACAGG